CCUACGGGUGGCAGCAGUAGGGAAUCUUCCACAAUGGGCGCAAGCCUGAUGGAGCAACACCGCGUGAGUGAAGAAGGGUUUCGGCGCGUAAAGCUCUGUUGUUGGAGAAGAACGUGCGUGAGAGUAACUGUUCACGCAGUGACGGAAUCCAACCAGACAGUCGCGGCAAACUGCGGGCCAGCAGCCUCGGGAGUACGUAGGUGGCGAGCGUUAUCCGUAUUUAUUGGGCGUAAAGUGAGCGCAGGCGGUUGCUUACGUCUGAUGUGAAAGGCGUCGGCUUAACCGAAGAAGUGCACCGGAAACCGGGCGGCUUGAGUGCAGUAGAGGAAAGGGGAACUCCAUGUGUAGCGGUGGAAUGCGUAGAUAUAAGGAAGAACACCAGUGGCGAAGGCGGCUGUCUGGUCUGCAACUGACGCUGAGGAUCGAAAGCCUGGGUAGCGAACAGGAUUAGAUACCCCUGUAGUC
rnacentral:rRNA from 1 species